UUAAUUGAAACCAAAUAGAGGUAUAUCACUGUUAAUGAUAUUAAUGAAUAUAAAUAUUCCAAUUAAA
rnacentral:tRNA from 1 species